rnacentral:rRNA from 1 species
UGGGGAAUAUUGGACAAUGGGGGGAACCCUGAUCCAGCGACGCCGCGUGAGUGAAGAAGUAUUUCGGUAUGUAAAGCUCUAUCAGCAGGGAAGAAAAUGACGGUACCUGACUAAGAAGCCCCGGCUAACUACGUGCCAGCAGCCGCGGUAAUACGUAGGGGGCAAGCGUUAUCCGGAUUUACUGGGUGUAAAGGGAGUGCAGACGGUUUUGCAAGUCUGAAGUGAAAGCCCGAGGCUUAACCUCGGAGUUGCUUUGGAAACUGUAUAACUAGAGUAUCGGAGAGGUAAGUGGAAUUCCUAGUGUAGCGGUGAAAUGCGUAGAUAUUAGGAGGAACACCGGUGGCGAAGGCGGCUUACUGGACGAAAACUGACGUUGAGGCUCGAAGGCGUGGGGAGCAAACAGG